GGAGAGAUGCAGGAGAUGGCUGAACUGGCAUGAUUGGAAAUCAUGUGUGCAGGCAACUGUACCGUGGGUUCGAAUCCCACUCUCUCCGCCA
rnacentral:tRNA from 1 species